GAUGAACGCUGGCGGCGUGCCUAAUACAUGCAAGUCGAGCGAACAGACGAGGAGCUUGCUCCUCUGACGUUAGCGGCGGACGGGUGAGUAACACGUGGAUAACCUACCUAUAAGACUGGGAUAACUUCGGGAAACCGGAGCUAAUACCGGAUAAUAUAUUGAACCGCAUGGUUCAAUAGUGAAAGACGGUUUUGCUGUCACUUAUAGAUGGAUCCGCGCCGCAUUAGCUAGUUGGUAAGGUAACGGCUUACCAAGGCAGCGAUGCGUAGCCGACCUGAGAGGGUGAUCGGCCACACUGGAACUGAGACACGGUCCAGACUCCUACGGGGGGCAGCAGUAGGGAAUCUUCCGCAAUGGGCGAAAGCCUGACGGAGCAACGCCGCGUGAGUGAUGAAGGUCUUCGGAUCGUAAAACUCUGUUAUUAGGGAAGAACAAAUGUGUAAGUAACUAUGCACGUCUUGACGGUACCUAAUCAGAAAGCCACGGCUAACUACGUG
rnacentral:rRNA from 1 species